rnacentral:rRNA from 1 species
CGAGCGAACAGACGAGGAGCUUGCUCCUCUGACGUUAGCGGCGUACGGGUGAGUAACACGUGGAUAACCUACCUAUAAGACUGGGAUAACUUCGGGAAACCGGAGCUAAUACCGGAUAAUAUAUUGAACCGCAUGGUUCAAUAGGGGAAGACGGUUUUGCUGUCCCUUAUAGAUGGAUCCGCGCCGCAUUAGCUAGUUGGGAAGGUAACGGCUUACCAAGGCAACGAUGCGUAGCCGACCUGAGAGGGUGAUCGGCCACACUGGAACUGAGACCCGGUCCAGACUCCUACGGGGAGGGAGCAGUAGGGAAUCUUCCGCAAUGGGCGAAAGCCUGACAGACCCACGCCGCGUGAGUGAUGAAGGUCUUCGGAUCGUAAAACUCUGUUUUUAGGGAAGAACAAAUGUGUAAGUAACUAUGCACGUCUUGACGGUACCUAAUCAGAAAGCCGCGGCUAACUACGCGCCAGCAGGCGCGGUAAUACGGAGGGGGCAAGCGUUAUCCCGAAUUAUUGGGCGUAAACCGCGCGUAGCGGUUUUUUAAGUCUGAUGUGAAAGCCCACGGCUCAACCGUGGUGGGUCAUUGGAAACUGGAAAACUUGAGUGCAGAAGAGGAAAGUGGAAUUCCAUGUGUAGCGGUGAAAUGCGCAGAGAUAUGGAGGAACACCAGUGGCGAAGGCGACUUUCUGGUCUGUAACUGACGCUGAUGUGCGAAAGCGUGGGGAUCAAACAGGAUUAGAUACCCUGGUAGUCCACGCCGUAAACGAUGAGUGCUAAGUGUUAGGGGGUUUCCGCCCCUUAGUGCUGCAGCUAACGCAUUAAGCACUCCGCCUGGGGAGUACGACCGCAAGGUUGAAACUCAAAGGAAUUGACGGGGACCCGCACAAGCGGUGGAGCAUGUGGUUUAAUUCGAAGCAACGCGAAGAACCUUACCAAAUCUUGACAUCCUCUGACCCCUCUAGAGAUAGAGUUUUCCCCUUCGGGGGACAGAGUGACAGGUGGUGCAUGGUUGUCGUCAGCUCGUGUCGUGAGAUGUUGGGUUAAGUCCCGCAACGAGCGCAACCCUUAAGCUUAGUUGCCAUCAUUAAGUUGGGCACUCUAAGUUGACUGCCGGUGACAAACCGGAGGAAGGUGGGGAUGACGUCAAAUCAUCAUGCCCCUUAUGAUUUGGGCUACACACGUGCUACAAUGGACAAUACAAAGGGCAGCGAAACCGCGAGGUCAAGCAAAUCCCAUAAAGUUGUUCUCAGUUCGGAUUGUAGUCUGCAACUCGACUAUAUGAAGCUGGAAUCGCUAGUAAUCGUAGAUCAGCAUGCUACGGUGAAUACGUUCCCGGGUCU